AAACUCAAAUGAAUUGACGGGGACCCGCACAAGCGGUGGAUGAUGUGGUUUAAUUCGAUGCAACGCGAAAAACCUUACCCACCUUUGACAUGUACGGAAUCCUUUAGAGAUAGAGGAGUGCUCGAAAGAGAACCGUAACACAGGUGCUGCAUGGCUGUCGUCAGCUCGUGUCGUGAGAUGUUGGGUUAAGUCCCGCAACGAGCGCAACCCUUGUCAUUAGUUGCUACAUUUAGUUGGGCACUCUAAUGAGACUGCCGGUGACAAACCGGAGGAAGGUGGGGAUGACGUCAAGUCCUCAUGGCCCUUAUAGGUGGGGCUACACACGUCAUACAAUGGAUGGUACAAAGGGUACGCCAACCCGCGAGGGGGAGGCCAACUCCCA
rnacentral:rRNA from 1 species